UACGUAGGGUCCGAGCGUUGUCCGGAAUUACUGGGCGUAAAGAGCUCGUAGGCGGUUCGUCGCGUCGGCUGUGAAAUCCCGAGGCUCAACCUCGGGUCUGCAGUCGAUACGGGCGGACUGGAGUUCGGCAGGGGAGACUGGAAUUCCUGGUGUAGCGGUGAAAUGCGCAGAUAUCAGGAGGAACACCGGUGGCGAAGGCGGGUCUCUGGGCCGAUACUGACGCUGAGGAGCGAAAGCGUGGGGAGCGAACAGG
rnacentral:rRNA from 1 species